AAUGAAAGGAAAGUAGUCUAAUCCAUAAAUCUAUUAUAAAUGGAUUGUAACUUGUAGUUUUGCUAGUUGGAUGGCCCUUGAUUUUAACAAUCUCAAUCAAAUAUGAGAUCCUAGUGGGUUAUUUGCCCGUAUGUUGACAUAUCAGGAGUCAAUUUCAACUAUGUUUUAGAGUAGCGCUCUUUGGUAAUAGAGCUCGAAGCGUGUGGUGAUAUUCAUAAAAGACUUAUCAUUGGUGAGAGACCUUUAGCGUACAAGUACCGUGAGGGAAAGAUGAAAAGAACUUUGGAGAGGGAGUUAAACAGUAUGCGAACAUGUUGGUAGAAAGCGGAUCAAUUUAAUGAACAUUUCUUUGUGGCAAUAACAUGUAAUUUAUACUCUAAUUCUAGAUAUAAAUUAUAAUUCUGGCUACUCAGGGUGAGGUAUAUAUGUUUUUAUUUAUUCUGAUCCGACCCGUCUGGAAACACGGACCAAGGAGUCUAGUAUUGGUGCAAGUAUUUGAAAAGUUAAAAUUCCUUUACACAGGUAACUCAGAUCGUGUUCAUCGUGUCAUUAUGAUCGUAUCGCGGGCAGUGUUUUUUACCUAGCAAGAGCAUGUAU
rnacentral:rRNA from 1 species